GUCUAGGGCCAUACCACCCUGAACGCACCUGAUCUUGGAAGCUAAGCAGGGUCAUUGAAUUAGACAAGGCUGUGGUCCUAGUGUGAUUAGAUUGCCUAGUUU
rnacentral:rRNA from 1 species